GAAAUACUGCCGUUCCCUUCCGCGAUGCCCAGCUCUAGUGCCAGGUCCCCACAGCUGAAGAAGAAAACAGCCAAGCUGCACCUAGUGGCUGCAGCAGAGCUGCGGGGUUGUUUGGCUGAGGCACCUUAGGAGAAUAUAACAAUCUUCAGGGGCAUCCCUCGUCAGCCAGGCUUCCUGUGUUGUCACCAGAUGGAAAUGUAUUCAUCCACAUAAACCAAUACAAUAACUUGUCAAAACAGACACAAUGAUCAUCCUUUCAACAGCCUCUCUGUCCAUCAUGGCAACAGAACAGGUGAUGCAUGCGAUGGCUAUAUGUUGUUAUGAGCUUGCCUGUGUAAUUCCUGUUAAGGAACUUGUUUAUGAACUUCUCUGGCACUUUUCCCUGGGGCCAGAUCUACGUGACUGCUUUUGCUGUGUCAUCCUCCACUAACAGGGUAAAUGCGUAUGAAGUUCAUGGAGCCGUUCAGCAUAGAAAUCCUACAACAUCAAACAAAACAUAAAUAACAGACAUUCCGUCAAGUUCAAAUUAAUUUUUAUGUACUCUCUAACACAUAAACUCCCAAGACUCUGCACAGUGUUUUAUAGUACAGUAAUACAAGAAAGUUUUAUCAAUAGUGAUGGUUUGUAAUGUAAUAUAAAAAAGUUUGAAGUCAAACCUAUGUCCCUUUUAUUUCCUCAUGUUACUGCUUAAUGGCCUUGCUAAUGUAACAAUACUGUUGUUCUUGUUAGUAGGUCUGUUCAGACAGUUGUUUUCAGCCUAGGAGUUGUCUGCCACACCCAUUCUUGUCUUCUGGUACACAGCAGUACAUUAAGAAUGUUGAUGCCUCCUGCCUUUAAAAAAUACAAAGGUUCUCUUUAAACCAUUAUAGAUCUAAUUUUUGGUUGAAGAACUGUAUCUCCAAUAGUUUGUAAUUCAAAUUGAAAUAUUGCUGAAGUUACCGCUGUGGGACCAAAAUACAACACAAGAAUUAAAAAUUUCCAUUCCA